AGCACUCCCACAUGUUAUAUGUCCCUAAAUAGCUCUUCACUGGGUGCCCUCACUGUCCAAAAAUAACAGUCCUGAUCCAGCAAACAGUUCCAGAGCAUUUCAGGGUAUCUCCUGGUGAAGCACUCGAUGCAUAGGAUGGAUCCAGGCAAUCCACAGAGGUCCCCAAUUCCGGCUGGGAGGCAGCAUGGACUAAUAAGCUCCUUUUAGUCCAUGCUGGGAUGAGGUUCCGUGACAAGGGCUUUUAUCCCUCUUAUACUUGAACCUAGGAUUUUAUGUAAAC